rnacentral:rRNA from 1 species
CAGUCGCCGCGGGAAUACGUAGGGUGCGAGCGUUAAUCGGAAUCACUGGGCGUAGAGGGGCGUAGGCGGCGUGGUAAGUCAGAUGUGAAAUCCCGGGGCUCAACCCCGGAACUGCAUCCGAUACUGCCAUGCUUGAGGGUUGGAGAGGUAGCUGGAAUUCUCGGUGUAGCAGUGAAAUGCGUGGAUAUCGAGAGGAACACUCGUGGCGAAGGCGAGCUACUGGACAACAUCUGACGCUGAGGCUCGAAGGCUAGGGUAGCGAAAGGGAUUAGAUACCCCAGUAGUCCCUGUCUCUUAUACA